GGCGCUAUCCCUCCUGAGCUAAGUAGAAGGCAGGGGUGGUCGCAGCACACCAACCAUGAAAAUGAGGGUGUGUUGAGGAGGGCACAGGCUAGGGGUGUGAUGAAUGCUUGGGCUCUGAAUCUUGGAUCAGAGUGGAGCAUUCUGCUGCGCCCCAACCACGUACCCUUGAGACAAGGCCCUCCUGCCGCUGCACUUGGGCUUCACAUCUCCAUGGGAGCCCUUGUUGUUUUGUAUAUCACUCCUGAGCUA
rnacentral:siRNA from 1 species